rnacentral:tRNA from 1 species
UGGCCCUUCGUCUAGUGGUAGGACACCGGACUUUGGAUCCGAGAACCGAGGUUCGAAUCCUCGAGGGCCAGCCA